rnacentral:rRNA from 1 species
UACGAAGGGGGCGAGCGUUGUUCGGAAUUACUGGGCGUAAAGCGUGCGCAGGCGGUCUGUUAAGACCGAUGUGAAAUCCCCGGGCUUAACCUGGGAACUGCAUUGGUGACUGGCAGGCUUUGAGUGUGGCAGAGGGAGGUAGAAUUCCACGUGUAGCAGUGAAAUGCGUAGAGAUGUGGAGGAAUACCGAUGGCGAAGGCAGCCUCCUGGGCCAACACUGACGCUCAUGCACGAAAGCGUGGGGAGCAAACAGG